GCCCCCGACACCUUGGCCCGCCCUCUCCUCGCGGGGCGCCCACAGCAGAUGGAGCUGCUGGACGGGGUCGUGUGAAAGGCAGGUGCUGAGAGACGCCAGGAUGUCUGCCGGUCAUCAUCUCGGCUGAAGAGAUGAGAGGCGCGCAGGGUACUAAGCACCCUUCCUCAGGUCGCUGAGAAAAACGCGGAGGCAGCUAGAGCAGAGGGAAGGGCACUUGGUGUCCCCAAGCUUGUCUCUGUCCCUCCUAACUACGCAGUUGGGCCAAUAAGAGAGCUCACCUGCGAAAAUCCUUGCUUCAAUUUUUUUUCUCCCUGGAGCACCAGGGCUAUGGUAGCAUCCUGGCGCUGCCACGACAUGCGAUUAAGAGCUGUGGCUCUUCAACAGCCCGGGAAUAAUGUGUGUGCGGGGCAGUGAGGAGAGAGCCCAGGCUGCAGUCCGGGUAGUCCACGGAUGUAUCUGAAAGGAGAAAACGUUCUCUUCCUUUCGCCAGAGUGAUUAAUCCCUGACGGGAGUGACAGAAACUAGUGGAUGGGAUCUGUAGCACUAAGUACUUUUACAUGGCAAGAAUUUGAAAAAGUGCCGGUUUAGGGUGUAAUCCCUCUAGUGACUACAGGGGGGCUCUGGAUUCACAACUCAGCUGCUGCAGCAAGACGGGUGUAGACCCUGUUGAUGCCAACGGACAGUUCAUGAAAUUACUUGUAUGAGUUUGGGGCAGCCACUGACCACAACACUGAUAACACAACAGCAAUCCUGAAAGAGUGGCUGAAGAAUGUGCAAAAACUCUACCAUUAUGUGGAGUGGAGGCCUAUGGAAGAGCCUGAGUCUUACCCUGAUGAAAUUGGUCCAAAACACUGGCCAAACUCCAGGUUUACCCAUGUGAUGAAGCUCAGGCAGGCUGCCCUGCGAACUGCAAGAGAAAAGUGGUCAGACUACAUCUUGUUUGUUGAUGCUGACAACUUACUCACUAACCCACAGACCCUGAACCUGAUGAUAGCAGAGAACAAGACAGUGGUGGCACCAAUGUUGGAGUCUCAUGCUCUCUAUUCUAAUUUCUGGUGUGGCAUCACUCCUCAGGGCUAUUACAGGAGGACACCAGAUUAUGCCCUGAUCAGGGAAUGGAAGAAGAGAGGCUGUUUUGCUGUCCCCAUGGUUCACUCCACAUUCCUCAUUGACCUCAGGAAAGAGGCCUCGAAAAAGCUGAUGUUUUACCCACCGCAUCAGGAUUACACCUGGAACUUUGACGACAUCAUUGUCUUUGCCUUUUCCAGCCGCCAAGCAGAAAUUCAGAUGCACAUAUGCAACAGAGAACACUAUGGUUUUCUCCCUGUGCCCCUGAGGUCACACCAGACACUGCAGGAGGACAUUGAAAACUUUAUUCAUGUGACAAUCGAGGCAAUGAUUGAUCGUCCUCCAGUUGAGCCCUCACAAUACAUCUCUGCUCCUCCGAAACACCCAGACAAGAUGGGAUUUGAUGAGAUUUUCAUGAUCAACCUGAAGCGUCGAACAGACAGGCGGGAUAGAAUGCUGCGGACCCUCUAUGAGCAGGAGAUUGCAGUCAAAAUUAUGGAAGCUGUGGAUGGAAAGGCAUUGAAUACAAGUCAGCUAAAAGCUCUGAAUAUUGACAUGCUACCUGGUUACCGGGACCCUUACUCUUCCAGGCCAUUAACCAGGGGUGAAAUUGGCUGCUUUCUUAGUCAUUACUAUAUCUGGAAGGAGGUGGUGAAGAGAGAGCUAGAGAAGACGCUCGUUAUUGAAGAUGAUGUGCGCUUUGAGCAUCAGUUUAAGAGGAAGCUCGUGAAACUGAUGGAUGAUAUUGAACGAGCGCAGCUAGACUGGGAGCUCAUCUACAUUGGACGGAAAAGGAUGCAGGUAGAACGGCCUGAAAAGGCAGUUCCAAAUGUAAUGAACCUUGUGGAAGCAGAUUAUUCUUAUUGGACGCUGGGAUAUGUAAUCUCCUUGCAAGGGGCUCAGAAGUUGAUUGGAGCUGAACCUUUCAGCAAGAUGCUACCUGUAGAUGAAUUCCUGCCAGUCAUGUACAACAAGCACCCUGUAACGAAGUACAUGGAGUAUUACGAGUCCAGAGACUUGAAAGCCUUCUCGGCAGAGCCCUUGCUUAUUUAUCCAACCCAUUACACUGGGCAGCCAGGUUACCUCAGUGACACAGAAACCUCCACUAUCUGGGACAAUGAGACGGUAUCCACUGACUGGGACAGAACACAUUCUUGGAAAUCCCGGCAGCAAGGCAAGAUCCACAGUGAUGCCCAGAACAAAGAUGCCUUGCCACCACAAUCAUCUCUUGACACAUCAUCAUCAAGGGAUGAACUAUGACUCCCCAGUUUGCUGUGUGACUCUAACCACCGCUAACCCUGCCUCAUACUUAAGGUUUCUCCUAGAAGCUUGUAGAGCUGUUAACAUGGUCUCCAUCUUAUCAUCUUUAAUGCAAAAGCAAACUGAGUUGAGCCUGGUCUCUUCUUUCUGGGUUUGGAGUUGAACCAAAAUGUUCCAGGCUGCCAGAAGAACAGAGACUUCUAAAAAAGCAUAACACAAACUGCAGUCCAUUCUCACGUGGACUUGUAAUGUCGACACUUCCAUGGAGCAAUGAGCUGGCUCCAUGGCUUGCUGCGUUUACAUGAAUAAUCACAAAAAUUCCUUGAAUGACGACUUUCUACAGUUCCUUGUGUAGAAUACUGUAUUUAUAAAGAUUAAUAUAUAGGGGCUAUGAGUGGAUAAGCAUAAUACCUUUUUACAUAGAUGUUACCGUGCUGCUGCGUAACACUAACUGUUGUAGGUUUGUGGUUUUUGUAACCCCUUUCUCCAAAAGAAGCUGCAGCUGUGGUGUGUGUGUGUAUUGGGCUGGGGGGAGUUUCUUUCUUUUUUUCUUUUAAAAGGAUCAGAGUCAAGAUCAAAAUGACUUUCCAAAGUGUCUGCCUCUGUGUUAAUUUCAACACUUCAGAGCAGUAAUUCUCAGCGUUUUCUGUAAUGUGGCCUUUCCCCCCCACCAAACUCUCUCGAUUUGAGGAUUUCUUUCCCGUAAAUUUAGAAAUCUCUGAAUCCCAUGCACCCAGGGAAAAAGAAGGGUGUUUGAAAACCCUGAAACCUGUGUACAGGCUCCAGAAUCAAAGCCUUAGCUUGAGAACUGAUGCCUUAGCUUACUAAAGCUGACAGCUAUUUAAAGAUCCAGUGUCCCUGUCACCUCUUACAAAAUUUGCUUACUGAAUAGUGAAGCAAAAUCAGUCAGACUUACUUCCUGUUUCUUGGAUUUCCUUCCCAAUUAAUAUAUUCUCCCCCCCCCCCCCCCCAAAAAAAAAAAAGCUUUCACUCACAUAUAUGUCUUAAAAAUAUUUCUAUGCAUUUGGAGCUUAAACUACUUGACAGUAUUCAUUUUAAAAGAAAAAAAUGAAAAUGUUAAGUGUCAACUCUACAAUUCAUUGUUUGAGAGCCUCAUUAGAAUUGUAUAAUACAAGACAAAAAGGCAACUUGCCUUUUGUGUAUUUUUAAAUGUGAGGAGCAAGCUUAUCCUUUUUUGGAUGAGUUCUUCUAUACUCGAAAUUGGCUAAAAUGUCAGCAUGGUAAAUCAUCUAUUUUAUAAAAGGGUCCCAUAAUUCAGGUGAUUAUAUACUACAUUACUUAGAUUUAGCUGAUGGUAGGUUAGAUCUUUUUCUAUACAAGAUGAAGAACUGAGGAAAAAAGACCUCCUGGAUUUAAAAUUCUUUAGAUUGUGUCAGCUGCUGGAUGAUCUGUACAUUUGAGUGCGCGGUUAUUUUUUAUUUUGUGGGGUUUUUUUACUAAAUGCUGAUAAUGUUGUGCUCUUUCCUAAAAGAAAACAUAUAUUACUUCCUAUCAGCAGGUCUGAUAAUACAUAGAUCUCAGAUGCAAGAUGUUUGGCUAUGUGUAGUCUUAAUUUGCGUGGCAUGAUCUCUGAUUCUUGAAUUCCAGCAUGGUUUCCUCUGACUGUGACUGGUGACUGACCAAGGAUUGAAUUCACCACACUGGUUUGGGAUCAACUCCAAUGCAGCAACUAAGAGGUAAAGCUGCCUUUGAUGGAAACAGAGGAUAGGACACGUUGCUGGUCAGACACAUCUCCGUUGUAUAUGUUCAGUACUGGCAUGUUCCGGUCUUGGUGACAGUAAAGAAAACAG